rnacentral:lncRNA from 1 species
GCUCCAGACAUUUGCCUGCGGGCAGGGGAGUUGCACGUACACGCGAGGGCUCUGGUGAUUUGGGGGAGGCUCCGGGGCUAUUUUUACUUUUUUUUUUGGGGGGGGGGGGGGCUGCCCUCGCGGUGUCCCCCCCCCCCCCAAAAAAAAAAAAACCAGGCGUGUGGCCCGACGGCUCGGACGGCACCGACAUCAACUCCCUGUGCCGCUCCCACCACGAGCGCCUGGUGGCCGUGGCCGACGAUUUCUGCAAGGUGCACCUCUUCCAGUACCCCUGCGCCCGCCCCAAGGCUCCCAGCCACGUCUACGGGGGCCACGGCAGCCACGUCACCAACGUGCGCUUCACCCACGACGACGGGCACCUGGUGUCGCUGGGGGGCAAGGACACCGGCGUCUUCCAGUGGCGGGUGCUGGGGGGGCCGCCGGUGCCCGCCGGGGGGGCCGCGGAGCCCCGUUGAGGCCCCCCCGUUACCCCCGUUACGGGACCAGGGGGGCCCCGGCCCCCCCCCCCCCCCCACUUUUUUUCCCCCCCCCCCCCCCAAUAAAACCAUGGAGCGGGCGCCCGGCCCCCCCCCCCCCUCCUGCCGCCGUUACCGGGCCCCGCUUCCGGGGCGGGGCCGGGAGCGGCCGCCCGUUUCCCGGAAGGGGGGGGGGGGCGAACGGGCCCGGGCCGGAAGGGCGCGGGGGGGGGGGGGGGGGUGGGGAUCGGAUCCCGAAGGUGUUCCGGAGAUACCCGAACCGCGCUCCUGAAGCGCUCGGGGCUCCGGCGGAACUUACCGAGGCCCUUCCGGAAGAAGCCGAAGGUGCUCCGGAGAUUCCCGAACUGCUUCCCGAGCUCCCUCCGAAGAUUUCCGAGCCCGCUCCGAAAGCUCCCGAACGCGGCAGCGGAGACGUUCGGAAAAGAGCCGAGCGUCUCCGGAAAGCUCCGAGGCCGUUCCGAUAAGAGCCGAGCCUUUCCGAAAGCUCCCGAGGCUGCAGCGAAGCGGUUCGGGAAAGAGCCGAAGGGCUCCGGAAAGAGCCGAGGGGGCUCCGGAAAGAGUCGAGGGGGUUCCGGAAAGAGCCGAGGGCGCUCCGGAAGGAGCCGAAGGUGCCGGUGCGGAGGCGGCGGGAGCGGGAGGCGAUGGAGGCCCGGGGGUAGCGCGGCCCAGCCGAGCGGCCAUGGCGGCCAACA